rnacentral:rRNA from 1 species
AGUGAACGCUGGCGGCAGGCCUAACACAUGCAAGUCGAGCGGCAGCGCGUCCGACCACCCUCGGGUGGUCGGAUGGCGGCGAGCGGCGGACGGGUGAGGAAUGCAUCGGAAUCUGCCUCGUUGUGGGGGAUAACGUAGGGAAACUUACGCUAAUACCGCAUACGACCUACGGGUGAAAGUGGGGGACCUUCGGGCCGUCACGCGAUGAGAUGAGCCGAUGCCGGAUUAGCUAGUUGGCGGGGUAAAGGGCCCGACCAAGGCGACGAUCCGUAGCUGGUCUGAGAGGAUGAUCAGCCACACUGGAACUGAGACACGGUCCAGACUCCUACGGGAGGCAGCAGUGGGGAAUAUUGGACAAUGGGGGCGAACCCUGAUCCAGCCAUGCCGCGUGUGUGAAGAAGGCCUCGGUUGUAAG